AACUACUCCCACAAAAAAAAAAGGUCAAUCUCAGUGAAAUAGAAAGAGGACAGACUAUAUGCAGCCAGAACUUGAUUCAUAUAAACAUGUGGAAAAGAAAGAGAGAAAAUAUUUGAUUAUAAGUAAAUAAACUAAGUGAGUAGUACCCCCUAAACAUUAUUUGAUAAGUUAUUUGUCACAUGUCUUCUCUAAAAUCAUUUUCAUUAAGAAAUAUGACAUGGUCACAAAAAUUGAUGACAUGUAUUAUGGCUAAAUAUGACAUGGACAAUUUUCUAGACAUUAUUUGGGAAGUGAUCUGCCACAUGUCUUCUCUAAAAUCAUUUUCAUAAAGAAAUAUGAAAUGGUUACAAAAAUUGAUGACAUGUCUUAUGGCUAAAUAUGACAUGGACAAUUUCCUAGACAUUAUUUGGGAAGUGAUCUACCACAUGUCUUCUCUAAAAUCAUUUUCAUAAAGAAAUAUGACAUGGCUACAAAAAUUGAUAACAUGCCUUAUGUAUAAAUAUGACAUGAAAAAAUUUCUAGACAUUAUUUGAGAAGUGAUCCGUCACAUGUCUUCUUUACAAUCAUUUUCUUUAAAACAAAUGUGACAUGGCUACUAAAAUUGAUGGCAUACCUUAUGAAUAAAUAUGACAUGGACAAUUACAUUAAUUGUUGAUGUAUAUUUUUUUGAUUAUUACCAAAUCAACAUGCUUUAGAAUUAUGUAUAAGUAGGGAAACCAGAGUUAAAUUCCUUUUUCAUAAAUAGAAAAAAAAUAAUAUCUUAACAAACAAAAUUCAUGAUUGAUAUUUUACAUCAGUGUGCUCUAAUGAUAUUAGAAUUUUACUAAUACUAGGUAAAUACCCGCGCUACGCCGCGUACUUUUUCUACAUUGAAGUUUUAUUAAAAUGAGUUUAGUUUAGUAAUUGUUAUUUGUUUAAAUUUAAUAUUAUUAAUAUUUUGUAAAAAGUUGUGAUUAGUUGAUAUAUAUAGAGUUUGGUUUUGAAUUUUAGUUUUUACUCAUUUUACUUUAAUAUUAAGGAUUUUUAUAUAUUUGUUAAUUUAUAGUUUUGUUGUGUAGGGGAUUUUUUGUAAUAUAUAUUUUUGUUUUGGGCAUGAUGUAAAAGUUUGUUUUAGUUUUGAUUUUUUCCUAUCAUAUUUUAUUUUGGAAAAUACUUUUGUUCACAUAAUCCAACUUUAGAAAUAAUAGUGUACUAAAAGGGAAGAAUGAACAAAAGUGGAUCACAUUUUACUGGACGUCUUUGGUUGUCCCAACAGUUUUAAGAGAAUUGAUGGUUUUCUUUGUUCUUGUUGCCUUGGUCCCCUAUUUUUAUGAAAUUCAAUUGUUAUUAGGUAAUAAUGAAGAGAAUGAUAUGUAUAUGUUUCUCUGUAUCGGAGAUUGCUGAAGAUUCUUUUGUAAACGACGUUCUUUGACUGUUGAUGUUGUUCUUUUUGCUGGGGCUUCACUCCAAAUGUUUUAUUUUUAUUUUUGAGGUGACUCGAGAUAAAGCAACUUAGAACUGUUUAUGAAUGAAAACAGGUCUUGGUAGAUAAAUUUUAACAUUUUUCAAGCUUUUGUUUAUUGUCAUACCAUAACAAAGUCUUAUUGGAAAUUGUCUUCUUUUCAUCUUGAGUCUGUUGUUGUCAUGUUGAUCUUUGUAUUAGAAUUUUCUUGUCAAAGAUUUUACCAACCAAAAUCUCUGCUUCCAGUACUCUUUCACCUAAACAAGUAAUCACCAGUUUUGUGCCGUUGCAUAAACCAUCUUACUAAUUUAUGUUUCUCAGAAGUAUGACCAUUACGUUUUCCUUUAAGUCAAGAAUGAUGAUUUGGUAGCUAAAGUGUUUAUAAAAAGCUACACUUUAAAGAAAAAGAAAUCAUUGUUACUGGUCAUUUAAUCAAAGCGUUGCUGGUUUAUGUUAGUUUAUGUUUUGGCGUCUGGCAGAUGUUAAUUUUUUUUCCGUUUUGCUAUGUCCGGCAAAAUUUAUAUAGGUUCUGAUUUUAUUUAUUAUUCAUGUUUACAUAAGAUUAUGCUUGUUUUAUUUUUCUUUUUUUCCUUUUUAAAUGUAGAGAUGUUAAUGAAGAACCAAAAGGAACACGAGAGCUACUGGAGCCAUGCAAACAAGAAGAUUCAUGGAGUUUAGCUUUUCUCUUCAAAACAAUUUUAAAUAUUUCUCAGCAACAGUCUUUAAAAUAUUCCAACUUUUGAAACAUAGAACUUUGACAAGACCAUCACGGUGACAGUGCAGCCAUGUCUGACCCUUCAGAAGAAUGCAAAAUCCCUUGAAGCACCGAUUUAAGAGCUCUCGCAGCUGUGGCUGCAAUGCACAUAAGGAAUCCAAACAGGUGAAACCUUAGCUCACCCUAGAGACAACAAGUCAUUAAGAAACAUCAAACAGACAAUUAAACACAGGGCCGGAUUUGGGGACAGCCGAAUAAAACAUUGGCCUCGACCUCCAAAAUUUUAAGAGGUUUUUUGCUUAGGUUUACGCCCCCAAAAAUUGACUCUGACCCCCCAAAUUUUUUAGAGUUCUUAAGAAAUGUUUCAAGCCCCCAAAUUCUCAGAUCCGGCCCUGAUUAAACACAAAUGUAUGAUAUCAUAGCUAACAAUGAAGAUCGAGAGGAAGCAAACACAACACAAAAAGAGAAAAUAUCUCCGGUAAUCAAAACUCUUGGAGCAACAUAAGAGUUCAUAUGGUGAACAGGAUGAAAAAACACAGCCGAACACAAAAUAAUGCCUUAACUUAACAAUGCGAAAUGUAAUUUUAGGAAUGUAUGAGCUUGUUCAUAAAACUACAUAUAUGUGAGAACAAAAUAAUAUACUCACUCCAGCAUUGGAUUGAAGCAAGAAGAUUAUAGCUCCCAUUUUAUCAAUCGACUACCUCGUUGAUCUUGACCACAGAUGGCAUCACCAGCUUUCUGACACACCACUUCUCUGUCAUGUGACUUUAUCACUCCUGCUGCUUGCUUCCUGUGGUCCAACGGAACCUUGAGGACUGACUCGUUCGUGGCACUUGUUGACUCCACUUGCAACAAAAUCACAUUUACACGUAAUAAGUUAGAAUUUGAACUCAAAAGUUCAGACUAAAACUCUUAAAAGACUUGUUUGGGUCUUUGACAUGAACCCAUGUGACCGUCUAGCUUGAUAAAGAAUUAUAGGAAAAAAAAACUCCCUAAAAUUCUGGUAUUAUAAAGUAAACAAUCACAGUCGACCAUUGAUACAACACAUUUGAGGAUACUUUUUCUUAUACCAUGUCCAAGAUACGCGUGAUGCAAGCUGUAAGUAAGAUAAAGAUGUAUAUAUAGCAAUAUCUAUGUAUCAUGUCUCUCUGAAAAUCAACAACCUUUUAAGAAAUUUACAUAGCUGUGGUUUCUAAACUUAAAGAAAUCAUGAGGGAAACAUACCUCAAAGAAACGAUGCCGAAGAAUGAAGAAUGAUGCCGAAGAAACGAAGCAUCUUCUUUGGUAACUCCACAUCAGAGGAAGCGUCAGCGGCUGAUUCGGUGACCAUACAACUUAGACGAGUGACUAAGUCGAUGAUUGAUCCCACCCCUAUUCGUCGCUCUAGCCAUAGCCCAGAUUCUUCUUCAGUAGGUUUCAGUAACUGCUCCUUGACAAAGCCGAGACUAUAAACGUUGAGCAGACGGGAUAUGAUCCGACGGCGGCUGUGGAUAGUGUUGAUUUCAAUUUGAUGGAGGAGGAGGAGUAUCAAAGUCCAGUUACCUAUGGUAACCAUCGUGUCUGAUGCCGUUAAGCGGAUUGGACUUUGGGUUAAGGCUCCGGUCAUGGACGCAGACCACCUUGACUUUUUUUCCCUUCGCCAUUGUUAUAUUUACUUGUCUAGAGAGGUUGGGGUUUAGAGAAAUUAAGGUUUUGGCGGAAUUGAUCACUGCUACUGCUUACUCUUUUUGAUUAGGACAAUGGGGGACUGACUUAAAGAUGAUCAUGAAGGUGGUUACGUAUCUUCUUUUUGUAGGGAAUUAAAGGUUAAGACAUCAAUCAUUAUAUGCUUUACAGAGCAGCCAGGUUGAUUGCCAUUCUCAGGGUCCAGACAAAUCAGCUGAAAUGGAGCUUUAAUGUGCUAAACAUCAACGAAGAGAAAUAUGUUCGACAUCAAGAAAAUGACGUGGAGAAACCAAAUGUUCUAACUGGUUUUCAAUGUUUUUUCAGUUAAUGACAUGUCGAUUUCUCAGUACUCUAAAAGUCUGAUCUGUCAACAACAGGAGAGACAUUUGCUUCAUUAUUGUGUUGAUUUGUAGCCAAAAUUAGAAGAAAUCUUGAGAGUUGGAGUCCAGAUGGAUUUUUCAUACUAUAAUUAGAGGUAAAUACAUUCCAGUGUAGACAGUUUUGUAUUUUCCGGGAGGUGGAGGCUUCUACAGAUUCAUCGCCGCCGGUCUAGUUUCCGGGGAGUGGAGGCUUCUUCAGCUCUGCGUUCGCCGGCUUCAGUUCUCGGGGGGUGAAGGCGGACUUUGCCUUGCCUCGUCGGCUUUUGGGUUCUCUAGGUUUUUAGGGUUUGGUUUUUAUAUUUGUCUGUUGCUGUUUCGAUAAUGUGUGGUUUGAGGAGCUCUCGUCGGAAGACGGUCGAAGCUAUUGGGUGUUGUAGGUUGAUGGGUCGGCGAAGCUUUAUUCCCAGCUCCGGUGAUGAAAAGAGGCGGAUGAGAUCUCGGUAUGCCGAUUGCAUCUCUCCACUACAGUGAGCUCGGAUUAUAAGCGUUUGCGGCUAAGAGAUUGUGAAGUUAGUGACUGAUGGUGUUUCCCGGUGGAUCGUCGUUUGGAUCAACGGCGAUGGCUGGAAGCGGUGGAGGCCGUGAUCGAAGCGGAGGCAUCGCUUCUGGUUUCUCUAGGGUUUCGCUUGGUGGGCUGUGGGCCUGAAUGUAUGUGUUUAGUGUUUUGUAAUGUUGGGCUUUGACCCUUAAUCUAAUUAACUAUUGACGGAAAAAAAAAAAGACAAUUUUGUAUUUUAUUUUAUUUUUUGACAAUAGACGGUUUUGUAUUUAUAAAGAAAAUAUAUAUCAAUUAUAUGAUGGAGCUAUGGAGCUAAAUAUCCAGUUAUUUUUUCAUUUCUUUUUGUUUAAAUUGAAUAUCGAGUUUAGUUUGAUUUAAGCAACAUCUGUCACGAGUGUGUAUAAAUAAUUACAUUAAUGUGUUGGCUUCUGUAUAUAUAAGCAUAAUGAUCUCCACAUACCUUGCAACCAAGUAACCGUAUUAAAAGUGUAAAGUGAAUUUGAGUAGAAUAUUAUUAAUCACUUUGUCCAUC